rnacentral:rRNA from 1 species
UACGAAGGGGGCUAGCGUUGUUCGGAAUUACUGGGCGUAAAGCGCACGUAGGCGGACUAUUAAGUCAGGGGUGAAAUCCCGGGGCUCAACCCCGGAACUGCCUUUGAUACUGGUAGUCUCGAGUCCGGAAGAGGUGAGUGGAAUUCCGAGUGUAGAGGUGAAAUUCGUAGAUAUUCGGAGGAACACCAGUGGCGAAGGCGGCUCACUGGUCCGGUACUGACGCUGAGGUGCGAAAGCGUGGGGAGCAAACAGGAUUAGAAACCCCCGUAGUCC